CUCGAGGAGGCUGAAAGGAGAGAC
rnacentral:piRNA from 1 species